GAUGAACGCUGGCGGCGUGCCUAAUACAUGCAAGUCGAGCGAACAGACGAGGAGCUUGCUCCUCUGACGUUAGCGGCGGACGGGUGAGUAACACGUGGAUAACCUACCUAUAAGACUGGGAUAACUUCGGGAAACCGGAGCUAAUACCGGAUAAUAUAUUGAACCGCAUGGUUCAAUAGUGAAAGACGGUUUUGCUGUCACUUAUAGAUGGAUCCGCGCGGCAUUAGCUAGUUGGUAAGGUAACGGCUUACCAAGUCGACGAUGCGUAGCCGACCUGAGAGGGUGAUCGGCCACACUGGAACUGAGACACGGUCCAGACUCCUACGGGAGGCAGCAGUAGGGAAUCUUCCGCAAUGGGCGAAAGCCUGACGGAGCCACGCCGCGUGAGUGAUGAAGGUCUUCGGAUCGUAAACCUCUGUUAUUAGGGAAGAACAAAUGUGUAAGUAACUAUGCACGUCUUGACGGUACCUAAUCAGAAAGCCCCGGCUAACUACGUG
rnacentral:rRNA from 1 species